GACGAACGCUGGCGGCGUGCUUAACACAUGCAAGUCGAGCGGUAAGGCCCUUUCGGGGGUACACGAGCGGCGAACGGGUGAGUAACACGUGGGUGACCUGCCCUCAGCUCUGGGAUAAGCCUGGGAAACUGGGUCUAAUACUGGAUAUGACUCCACGGUGCAUGUCGUGGGGUGGAAAGCCUUGUGCGGCUGAGGAUGGGCCCGCGGCCUAUCAGCUUGUUGGCGGGGNGAUGGCCUACCAAGGCGACGACGGGUAGCCGGCCUGAGAGGGCGACCGGCCACACUGGGACUGAGACACGGCCCAGACUCCUACGGGAGGCAGCAGUGGGGAAUCUUGCGCAAUGGGCGAAAGCCUGACGCAGCGACGCCGCGUGAGGGAUGACGGCCU
rnacentral:rRNA from 1 species